rnacentral:lncRNA from 1 species
UUAAAUUAAGAUAAUUUUAAGAAAUUUUAAUUCAUUAUUGUUCUUACUGUGUUAUUUUCAACAACCAUCUUUUAUCUUAUAAUAAAAGUGGUUAAAUAACGACUGGUAAUAAAAAAGUAAUCAACAACCUUAUAAAAUAUUUUAAGCCGAUAACACAAUCGUUCUUAUCAUUGAUUAUUUUAUAGUCUUUGAAUUGAUUAUGAUAUAUGUUUAUUGGAUAAUCUAGGAUUAAUCUUUGAUAAGUUUUUGAUUAAUUUGAUCCUUAAGAAAAAAUAGUUCUUUAUCAAAUAGAAAAACAAUAAAAGCGUAAAUUACAAUAAAAUGGUCGUUAUUAUUCAUUAAGUUCACUCUCUCAUUAACAUACCCCCUAUUGGGUAUUUUUAACUUUAUUUCGUCCUCCUUUUUAACUACCUUUUUAUUCUUUACACGCAACAAAAAUCAAUUUCUUUUCUACUAUUUUACACAAAAGAAAUUUCCUUUAUUUUUAUUAUUCAUCUCUCUUUGGCAACCUUUCAUUUAGUAAUUUAACACAGAACACAUUAUCCUAGGAUCCGUAACAAGGUGACGACCUUGCCUAAUGUUACAACACCUUUUCUCGUUGGUAUAACAAUUUUUUUGUCACUGUUGAUGUGGUUUACUGACCUAGAUUUUAAUUUAAUGCGAGUCGAAUUAAACUUCCCAUUUCUCAUUUUUUAUCUCAUUUUUAGAAUUUUAAGCUUUUUUUUUAAGAAAAAUUUAAAAUUGUUUCGCAUGCAAAGUGUUGAAUUUAAAGCUUCCGCGAUUUCCCUCAGAGAUUUAUUACCGAGAUAACGACAACCGUUGGAGAUAAUAAAUUAUUUUUAACGUUCGUGAUACUGCUUUUGAAUUAAGUGGGUGUAAUUAGUAAUUUGAAUAGAGAGGUGUUUUAAAAAAUAUACAUCUAAGUAAUUUGUUUUAUCAUUUAAUUAUGUAAUAAAUCGGAGUUUGUUAAAGAAAAGCUGCAGGACUAUGUUUAGCCCAAGAAACCGCAACCAACGUGUUGAUUAUAUCAAUCACAUGGUUGUUAUUACCAAGAAGAAGUUAUGGAUCUUGAAUGUUAUGACAAGAAGGAUAACAUCCAGAACAUUGCAGUAAGGACACUACAAAGUAUUUCAUGAUAAAGCACAAAAGAGUCAAGAUGAUUAGCAAAUAAAGACAUCAAGGAGGAAAGAAUAGAUAAAUAAAUUUAACAAGGAUACUCAAUUGGAAUGGAAUCAAGAUAAAUCAAGUUUCAUCUGAAACACUAACAUAUCAAAAGUAUAAAUGGAACUUUAUAUGAUAUCAGACAAAUAGGAAUCCGCCAAAAACUAACGCAGGUAGCAGUGAUGACCAUUGUCAUCAUACAAUAUCCGAUGGUUUUGAGAUAUGGAAUGGUGUGAGAUAGGGAGGUGCACUGUCGGCGCUAAUGUUAAUGUUUAAUUGACUUACACUGUGCCAUUGGUGACUUCGAAAACAGAGACAGCAUAAUGAUAAAGUCAUUUCAAAUAUGCGUAUGAUGUAUUGAUAAUGGCCAUAAAUUAUGAGAAGCUAUGAAGAUAACCUGAAGUGAACAGAGGUUAAGACCUGAAACUAUAACAGUAGGCGAAUAUACUUUCGAGAAUUUUCAUGCAUUCAAGUAUCUAGGUGUAAUCUUUAUACGAGUACAAGAAUAGAAGACUUAAUACAAGCUGCAAGCAGAUGUUACCAUGUGCAGUAAUCAAAGAACAUAUCUAGGUGAGGAUGUAUAAGAUCUUGGUCAGAUCAGUUUUAACUUACGAAGCGCAAUCUGACGGAAGCGAACAUUUGAACCACUUAUAGAAGCAGAUACUGGCUGGACACAUUAUCAGAAAAAGCUGCAAGC